ensembl:rRNA 5S_rRNA 5S ribosomal RNA
GUGUAUGGAGAUACCAUCCUGAACAUGCCUGAUCUCGUCUGAUCUCAGAAGCUAAGCAGGGUUGGAUCUGGUUAGUACUUAUCUGGGAGACAUACAUGUGUAUAUU